rnacentral:rRNA from 1 species
GAUGAACGCUGGCGGCGUGCUUAACACAUGCAAGUCGAACGAAGCACUUUAUUUGAUUUCCUUCGGGACUGAUUAUUUUGUGACUGAGUGGCGGACGGGUGAGUAACGCGUGGGUAACCUGCCUUGUACAGGGGGAUAACAGUUGGAAACGGCUGCUAAUACCGCAUGAGCGCACAGCAUCGCAUGAUGCAGUGUGAAAAACUCCGGUGGUAUAAGAUGGACCCGCGUUGGAUUAGCUAGUUGGUGAGGUAACGGCCCACCAAGGCGACGAUCCAUAGCCGACCUGAGAGGGUGACCGGCCACAUUGGGACUGAGACACGGCCCAAACUCCUACGGGAGGCAGCAGUGGGGAAUAUUGCACAAUGGGCGAAAGCCUGAUGCAGCGACGCCGCGUGAGCGAAGAAGUAUUUCGGUAUGUAAAGCUCUAUCAGCAGGGAAGAUAAUGACGGUACCUGACUAAGAAGCACCGGCUAAAUACGUG